rnacentral:lncRNA from 1 species
GAAUAGUUAAAUUAAAGGGACUAAAUAGAUAAUAUAACCCAUGGAAAUUUAGUUAGUGGAAUUGAAUGAUGAUUUGCAUAAGUGGAUGGCUUAAUUAAGCUUAAACAUAGGUGAAUUAAAGUUAAUUAAGAAAGUUGUCAAAAUUACUAAAAUACCAUAGUAUAUAUAUUAAAUUUAAAUCAAAGAAAGAUGACAUUUUGCAAUCGCACCAUCUUCCUCAUGGCAUAACCAAGAAAAACCUAGGGUUUUCAUAUUUU